rnacentral:rRNA from 1 species
GUCUAUGACCUUACCACUCUGAACACGCCCAAUCUUGUCUCAUCUCAGAAGCUAAGCAGGGUCGGACCUGGUUUGUACUUGGAUGGGAGAAAAAUAUUCAGAAAGCAAAUUCAGUUAUUUAAACC